rnacentral:rRNA from 1 species
CUACGGGCGGCACCAGUGGGGAAUAUUGCACAAUGGAGGAAACUCUGAUGCAGCAACGCCGCGUGGAGGAUGACACUUUUCGGAGCGUAAACUCCUUUUAUAUAGGAAGAAGAUGACGGUACUAUAUGAAUAAGCGCCGGCUAACUCCGUGCCAGCAGCCGCGGUAAUACGGAGGGCGCAAGCGUUACUCGGAAUCACUGGGCGUAAAGAGCGUGUAGGCGGAUUAAAAAGUCAGAAGUGAAAUCCUAUAGCUUAACUAUAGAACUGCUUCUGAAACUCUUAAUCUAGAAUAUGGGAGAGGUAGAUGGAAUUUCUGGUGUAGGGGUAAAAUCCGUAGAGAUCAGAAGGAAUACCGAUUGCGAAGGCGACCGACUAGAACAUUAUUGACGCUGAGACGCGAAAGCGUGGGGAGCAAACAGGAUUAGAUACCCCGGUAGUC